AUCGCGUCGCCCCAGACCAUGCUCCCCCAUAGGGACAUUUGGCCUGGGACGGAGACUGGCCUCCCGUGCCGAUGGCGCGGUUGGCCUAAAAAGGAGUCCCCUUUGGCGGACGCACGGCUAGUGGUGGUUGUCAAGACCUUCGUAUCGAGCCGUGGUGACGCUAGGGAGUUGCUCUCUAAAGACCCUAACGUGUCGUCUUACGACGAUGCUUCGA
rnacentral:misc_RNA from 1 species